GAUGAAGAACGCAGCAAAAUGCGAUAAGUAAUGUGAAUUGCAGAAUUCAGUGAAUCAUCGAAUCUUUGAACGCACAUUGCGCCCGCUGGUAUUCCGGCGGGCACGCCUGUUCGAGCGUCAUUUCAACCCUCAAGCCCCCGGGUUUGGUGUUGGGGAUCGGCUCUGCCCUUCUGGGCGGUGCCGCCCCCGAAAUACAUUGGCGGUCUCGCUGCAGCCUCCAUUGCGUAGUAGCUAACACCUCGCAACUGGAACGCGGCGCGGCCAUGCCGUAAAACCCCAACUUCUGAAUGUUGACCUCGGAUCAGGUAGGAAUACCCGCUGAACUUAAGCAUAUCAAUAAGCGGAGGA
rnacentral:misc_RNA from 1 species